rnacentral:misc_RNA from 1 species
CGAGACAUCGUUCCUGUCGAGCGCCGGAUGAAUCAGGAGGCGCGGCAGGUUCCCGGGAUCAGCCGCGCUUUCAUCCACUGGCGGCAGCUGGGUGCGAUCAAUCAACGCCGCGAUCAUCAUCGGUUACGCGAUCUACAAGAUCGUCCAUGACGUCCCCGAUAUGGAGUAUGUCCAUCUCCUGGUCGGCUAUCAUUUCGGUU